CUAACCCUAACCCAAACCACGACACCAGCUAACAGGUGGAACAAACCCCAUCCCAACACUGCAAUCACACCUCACUCUGUGGGCCCUGUGGAUAGAACUAGAAUGUUCCAUUACUCUCCGGUGCCCCCUUAAGGCACUGAGGGCAUUAGGAAGCCUUAAUGACCCUAAACAGCCUCACCUGUGCACCAGAGCACACCCAGGAGCCCUAUUUAAACCCAGCUCUGAGCCUCAGUUGCUCUUUGGGCUCUGUAGGAGGAAUGCUGCUCUUCAGCUCUGUCCCUGCCUAUGAAGAUCCUUAGUCUGGACUUUAGGCUUAGCCCCUGGUUUAACCUUCUCUAUGAUUACAGAGCAGCUUGGCCAUUGCUGGACCUGAUGGCUGGCAGAGGUCUCUUCUCCUGCUGUGGGAGCCCAGAGGUGGCCUGGUCUGCUCUUGUCCCAAGUGCCAUGAAGUGCUGCUACAGAAGUACCACUGCAAGGCAAAGUAUGUGGGGCUGGUGUGCCCUAUAUGUGUGAUUGGUGUGCCCUAUAUGUGUGAUUGGUGUGCCCUAUAUGUGUGAUUGGUGUGCCCCUAUAUGUGUGAUUGGUGUGCCCUAUAUGUGUGAUUGGUGUGCCCUAUAUGUGUGAUUGGACUCGGAAAUGGCUUUUAAUUGCAAUGUUUCAUAUAGAGCUUGUGGGGGGAGUCUUGCUGAGGCUGACACAGGUCCCAGUUUGACUGAGUUAACUGGUUAACUGGAGGGACAUGGGAAGAUGUACAUGGAAAGAGAGUAAGAGGCUUCUGAAACAGGAGGUGGAGAAAGAGAACUGCAUUCAAACCCCAUUACCAGGAGCUUCAGCCAGCCUCAAGCAUCUGUAAUGCAGCUAAACCAAGGUAAGUGUUGAGCCUAACUACUGGUACUGAUAAGACUUUACUGUUUAAAGCUGAACAUGUUUAAGUGUUUCUAUGUAUAUUUGCAAACAUAACUUCUAUUGAUGGGUCUCAAAUGCAUUUGGAAGCUGGUUUGUGUGUUUGCUCUAGUGCUCCUCAGGGUUGCUACAACUCCCAGGUGCUCAAAGCCCUUCAGAAUCAGACUAAGUAGGAGCUGCAAGGAUAUUAAAAGCUUGUUUCCCACUUUAAAUCACACAUUGGAUUGAAUUGGAACUAAAAUAGAGGGAAUUAUUUGGACGCAAACGGACCUGUGGGCCGAGGGCGAAGAGUGGGUGGCAGCGUUGCGAUGCCAGCCGUGCGCUGUAGAGGCGCAGCACCAGUGCCCCCUCCUGGCUCUUCGG
rnacentral:lncRNA from 14 species